GAUACCCCACGAUCAACCCAACCCCCCCUGGCCAACCCAGCCUAUAUACCGCCGUCGCCAGCCUACCUUAUGAAAGAAACAAAGUAAGCCAAAUAGCCAAACACUAGCACGACAGGUCGAGGUGUAGCUUAUGGUGGGGACCAGAAUGGGCUACAUUAUCUAACCCAGAUAAUACGAAUAAACUAUGAAACAAGAAACUGAAGGCGGAUUUAGCAGUACACUAAGAACAAUAAUACUUAGUCGAAACCAGUGCAAUGGGGUGCGUACACACCGCCCGUCAUCCCUGCCAACCCACACCAAAAACUA
rnacentral:rRNA from 1 species